rnacentral:rRNA from 1 species
GAUGAACGCUGGCGGCGUGCCUAAUACAUGCAAGUCGAGCGAACGGACGAGAAGCUUGCUUCUCUGAUGUUAGCGGCGGACGGGUGAGUAACACGUGGAUAACCUACCUAUAAGACUGGGAUAACUUCGGGAAACCGGAGCUAAUACCGGAUAAUAUUUUGAACCGCAUGGUUCAAAAGUGAAAGACGGUCUUGCUGUCACUUAUAGAUGGAUCCGCGCUGCAUUAGCUAGUUGGUAAGGUAACGGCUUACCAAGGCAACGAUGCAUAGCCGACCUGAGAGGGUGAUCGGCCACACUGGAACUGAGACGCGGUCCAGACUCCUACGGGAGGCAGCAGUAGGGAAUCGUCCGCAAUGGGCGAAAGCCUGACGGAGCAACGCCGCGUGAGUGAUGAAGGUCUUCGGAUCGUAAAACUCUGUUAUUAGGGAAGAACAUAUGUGUAAGUAACUGUGCACAUCUUGACGGUACCUAAUCAGAAAGCCACGGCUAACUACGUG